rnacentral:rRNA from 1 species
UACGUAGGGUGCGAGCGUUUGUCCGGAAUUAUUGGGCGUAAAGAGCUCGUAGGCGGUUUGUCGCGUCGGCCGUGAAAGUCCGGGGGCUCAACUCCGGAUCUGCGGUGGGUACGGGCAGACUAGAGUGAUGUAGGGGGAGACUGGAAUUCCUGGUGUAGCGGUGAAAUGCGCAGAUAUCAGGAGGAACACCGAUGGCGAAGGCAGGUCUCUGGGCAUUAACUGACGCUGAGGAGCGAAAGCAUGGGGGAGCGAACAGG